AGGGCGAUUUAGUUUGUUGCAUUAGACCCGAAACCGAGUGAUCUAGCCAUGAGCAGGUUGAAGGUUGGGUAACACCAACUGGAGGACCGAACCCGCAUCUGUUGCAAUAGAUUGGGAUGACUUGUGGCUAGGGGUGAAAGGCCAAUCAAACUCGGAAAUAGCUGGUUCUCCGCGAAAUCUAUUUAGGUAGAGCGUCGACCGAAUACCCUGGGGGGUAGAGCACUGGAUGGGCUAUGGGGACUCACCGUCUUACUGAUCCUAACCAAACUCCGAAUACCCAGGAGUACUAGUCGGCAGACACACGGCGGGUGCUAACGUCCGUCGUGAAAAGGGCAACAACCCUAACCUCCAGCUAAGGUCCCCAAGUCAUGGCUAAGUGGGAAAGGAUGUGAGGAUCCCAAAACAACCAGGAUGUUGGCUUAGAAGCAGCCAUCAUUUAAAGAAAGCGUAACAGCUCACUGGUCUAAAUAAGGGUCUUUGCGCCGAAAAUGUAACGGGGCUGAAGCCAUGCACCGAAGCUGAGGAUGUGUAGCAAUACACGUGGUAGCGGAGCGUUCCGUAAGCUGAUGAAGGGAGACCCGUGAGGGCUCCUGGAGGUAUCGGAAGUGCGAAUGUUGACAUGAGUAACGAUAAAGAGGGUGAGAGACCCUCUCGCCGAAAGACCAAGGGUUCCUGCUUAAAGUUAAUCUGAGCAGGGUUAGCCGGCCCCUAAGACGAGGCGGACACGCGUAGUCGAUGGGAACCACGUUAAUAUUCGUGGGCCUGGUGGUAGUGACGGAUUGCUCAACUUGUGAGGUCUUAUUGGAUUGAUCUUGCAGGGACGCGGUUCCAGGAAAUAGCUCCACCGUAUAGACCGUACCCGAAACCGACACAGGUGGUCAGGUAGAGUAUACCAAGGCGCUUGAGAGAACUAUGUUGAAGGAACUCGGCAAAUUGCACGCGUAACUUCGGAAGAAGCGUGACCCCAUUUUACGCAAGUGAAGUGGGGUGGCACAGACCAGGGGGUAGCGACUGUUUAUCAAAAACACAGGGCUCUGCGAAGUCGCAAGACGACGUAUAGGGUCUGACGCCUGCCCGGUGCUGGAAGGUUAAGAGGAGAGGUGCAAGCUUUGAAUCGAAGCCCCAGUAAACGGCGGCCGUAACUAUAACGGUCCUAAGGUAGCGAAAUUCCUUGUCGGGUAAGUUCCGACCUGCACGAAUGGCGUAACGACUUCCCCGCUGUCUCCAACAUAGACUCAGUGAAAUUGAAUUCCCCGUGAAGAUGCGGGGUUCCUGCGGUCAGACGGAAAGACCCCGUGCACCUUUACUAUAGCUUUACACUGGCAUUCGUGUCGGCAUGUGUAGGAUAGGUGGUAGGCUUUGAAGCAGGGACGCCAGUUUCUGUGGAGCCAUCCUUGAAAUACCACCCUUAUCGUCAUGGAUGUCUAACCGCGGUCCGUUAUCCGGAUCCGGGACAGUGUAUGGUGGGUAGUUUGACUGGGGCGGUCGCCUCCGAAAGAGUAACGGAGGCGCGCGAUGGUGGGCUCAGACCGGUCGGAAAUCGGUCGUCGAGUGCAAUGGCAUAAGCCCGCCUGACUGCGAGACUGACAAGUCGAGCAGAGACGAAAGUCGGUCAUAGUGAUCCGGUGGUCCCGUGUGGAAGGGCCAUCGCUCAACGGAUAAAAGGUACGCCGGGGAUAACAGGCUGAUGACCCCCAAGAGUCCAUAUCGACGGGGUUGUUUGGCACCUCGAUGUCGACUCAUCGCAUCCUGGGGCUGGAGCAGGUCCCAAGGGUAUGGCUGUUCGCCAUUUAAAGCGGUACGUGAGUUGGGUUCAGAACGUCGUGAGACAGUUCGGUCCCUAUCUGCCGUGGGUGUAGGAAUAUUGACAGGAUCUGUCCCUAGUACGAGAGGACCGGGAUGGACAUAUCUCUGGUGGACCUGUUGUCCUGCCAAGGGCAUAGCAGGGUAGCUACAUAUGGAAUGGAUAACCGCUGAAGGCAUCUAAGCGGGAAACCAACCUGAAAACGAGUAUUCCCUAUCAGAGCCGUGGAAGACGACCACGUUGAUAGGCCGGGUGUGGAAGCGCAGCAAUGUGUGAAGCUUACCGGUACUAAUAGCUCGAUUGGCUUGAUCGUUCUCAUU
rnacentral:rRNA from 1 species